rnacentral:lncRNA from 10 species
CUCUGAUUUUCAAGGUCAGAAGAAGAAGACCAUCCUGGCUCUAGAAGAAAGAGACAUAACUUGAUUAUUCUCUGCCGUUUUGUUUUAUAUCUUUCCAUGUCUUCAUACUUCACUUUCUUCACCACUAAAUAAUAUUCCAUUGUCUAGAUUCUAGAUGAACCACAGUUCAUUCAUUACCCUCCUGAAGAAGAUUUUGCUUGCUUCCAAUUUGUAGCAGUUAGGAAUAAAGCUGCUAUAAACAUCUGUGUGCAGAUAUUUGUGUGAAAAUAGAUUUUCUUUUUAAACAUUUUAAUUAAAAAUAUAUGUAUAUAUUUAUGUAGUCCAAUGUGAUUUUUAAAUAUAUGUAUACAUGGUGGAAUAAUUAAAUCAAGCAAAUUAACGUAUUCAUUAUUCCACCUACUUAUCUUUUCUUUCCCCUUUGGGAAAACAUUUAAAAUUUACUCUUUUAGCAAUUUUGAAAUAUAUAAUACACUAUUAUUAACUAUGGUCAACAUGUUCUGCAAUUGAACACUAAAAUUUACUCCUCUUGUCUAACUGAGAUUUUGUACCCUUUGGCCAAUAUCUUUUCUUUCCCCAUACCUACCCCCAGCCUCUGGUGACCAUCAUUCUACUCUCUACUUCAAUGAAUUAAUAAACAUUUUUAGAUUUCACAUGUAAGUGAAGUCAUAUAAUAUCUGUCUUUCUGUUACUGGCUUAGUUAAUUCAGCAUAAUGGACAUAGAUUUUCUUUACUACUUUAUAUUCCUUUAUAUUACUUUUUUUUUAGUAACAAAGAGAGUGAUUACUAGAUUGUAUUAGAUUGCUGCAAAAGUAAUUGUGGUUUUUCUGUUAAAAGUAAUGGCAAAAAUCACAAUUACUUUUGCACCAACCUAAUAAGAGUAUAUUUAGUUUUAUAAGAAACUGCUAUAACUUUCUUCCAAGUGACUGGACUCUUCCUUCUUCCUUCCAGCCACCAAUGAAUGAGAGUUCCUGUUGGUCCACAUCCUCAUCAACAUUUGUUGUUGUAUUUUAAAUUUGGCAUUUUAAUAGGUAUCUACUGAGAUAUCAUUGUUGUUUAAUCGUAAUUCCCUCAUGACACCUGUGUUAAACAUCUCUUCAUAUGGUUAUUUAGUCACCUGUGUAACAUUUUUGGCGAAAUGUCUGUUUAUACCUUUUAAACAUUUUUAAAACUUCUAUUUCAGGUUCAAAGAUACAUAUGCAGGUUUGCUGCAUAGGUACCUUGCAUGUCACAGAGAUUUGGUGCACAAAUUAUUUCAUUGCCCAAGUAAUAAGCAUAGUACUUGAUAGAUUUUACAAUCUUUAGUAACUUCUCACCCUCCACCCUAAAGUAGGCCCCAGUGUCUAUAGUUCCCUUUGUUGUUUCCAUAUGUACUCAAUAUUUAAUUUUCACUUAUAUGUGAGAACGUGUGGUAUUUGGUUUUCUGUUCCUGCAUUAGUUGACUUUGGAUAAUGGCCUCCAGCUCCAUCCAUGUUGCUACAAAAUACAAGAUCUCAUUUUAUAUGGAUGCAUAAUAUUUCAUGAUGUAUAUGUACCACAUUUUCUUUAUCCAGUCUAUACUUGAUGGGCACUUAGGUUGAUUCCAUGUAUUGGCUAUUGGGAAUAGUGCUGUGAUGAACAUAUGCAUGCACGUGUCUUUAUGGUAGAACAAUUUAUAUUCCUUUGGGUAUAUACCCAGUAAUGGGAAUGCUGGAUCAAGUGAUGAUUCUGUUUUAAUCCUUUGAAAUAUGGCCAAACUGCUUUCCACAAUGGCUGAACUAAUUUACAUACCUGCCAGUAGUGCAUAAGCAUUCCUAUUU